CUUGGGUCUUUGCCUGCUCUGUCUGCCCACUGCAGAUGGACACUCAUCUUUAUCUCAGAGGGCCCCCACCCACCCUCUGGGCUGCACUACUCCAUCCUAGCAAAAAAUUUCCCCUUGCUUCUUGCACAGCACUUUCCAGAAACUUGACUGCUGUCUGUGGACUAAGAGUGUCUCCUCUGGCAAAUGGAUUUAGUGCUGCAUCACACACACAAUGACAUCAGUGUCAUCACACAGCUGAAGUGCAAAAAAAAGCAAGUUUUCCUAGAACCACUAAAAAUUAGAUGCUGGAAAAAUGUGAGCUAGAUAAAGUCCUCACUGCACUUCACCCAGUUCUUGGGAAUGAAAGAGCAUUGGUUUCCUCCUUCCUGCUGCCACAUGACUCAGUGUGCACGAAUGUUUGUGUUUGCACCUGCAUCUAAACACACUUCCCUACAGCCAAAGCAAGGGGCUUCAUCCCUACACCAAAACAACACCUCCUGGUGUGUGAAAUGUAAAAUCAACCCCUGAACUGCAAAUUCAGCUUUUCCUGACCUAAGAGUGCCCCAAAGCACAAAACCACUGGAUCCCCUGCAGAGCUCAGUGAAUGAUUUCUUGCUUGAUUUAGACUGAUUGCUGGGAUAAUUGCCUUGUGUGAAACCUGCUCCUCAGCUGAGGACAAGACAUUGGAUGGGGGCCACGUCCAUGUUAUUCACCCCUGGAAAGCCAGUGGUAAAAAAGGACUUCAAACACGUUCUCCAGCCACUCCCUUCUCUCUGCAGCAGAGAGCUCCAUCCCUAAGGCAGGCUCAGACUUUCUGGUGGGGAGGAACGGUGGGAGCCAAGACAAGCAAGUGGAAUUUGCACAUCCAGAAUCGAGCAAGUGUCGCCACAAGAUGGAGCACAGAAUGCAGAGGACAUUCCUGCCUCCCCUGGAGCUCCCUGCUGAGCCCAAUCCCGAGUGCAAACAGCUGGAACCUGCCAGGACAAAUACCCAGCUAACCUAAUGGUCAGUCCCAACCUAUGUGUAGGGGCAAAAGCAGAGCAGCUGGUGAAGGCACAGCUGCACCCACCCUUCCCAACAGGUCCCAAGCACUGGCAAUGAACUGCUCAGUUCAUCUCUGAAGCCUCAAAAAUAAGAAAAAUUGAAAGAGGUGAUAGACAUUUUGGUGGGGUUUUUUUUUUCCUAAAGUGAAAAUGUCAUUCUAUCAAAGAGGCAGUGAUGGGUGGUAAAGUCACUUUACUGUGUUUUAUUUGUUCUGGAGUUACAGGUUCCAGGAUUUCUUGGGAGUUUCAGGAAAGACACAAAAGCAUUUCCAAGUGUAAGGACUGAUCCUGUUCCUUCCUUAAAAAUCAAAGAAACUAUCAACACUAACAUCAACUGGGAUGCAGGCUGGAUUUCACAUCACCUCCUGUCCAGGAAAAAACAAACAAACAAGCAAAAAAAAACACAAAAGAAGAAAAGACUAAGCUGGAAAAGAAAAUGCUGAAGGAAUUUGAAGAAUUCAAAACAUUGCUACAUAAAAGGCAGUCUGGCACACAGGAGGAGGUAUUUGUGCUCUUGUAACUUCUGAAUCUCAUCUGAGUAAGAAUUUGCUGAGCUGUCCCAUGGAUUAAUUUACUGCAGAAUGAACUCUGAGGAAAUCCAAAGCAGAGGCUGCCAAGUUCCACUGGUUGCUGCCUGUGUUCCAUGGGAAAGGACCUCCAUCCAGCCUCCUCCUGAGUGCAGGAGGGUCUCAGAUUUAGACUGAGAUGAACUAGCAGAGAUGGCUGCCAGGUCUAGAGGAUUCUGAACUCCAGAAAGUUCUGGGGUGCUCCAGGGCUGAUAAGACACACCCAAAAAGAAGAUCCUACAAGAAGUAAUAAAAAAGUGUUUACAGCACUUUAUAACUUUGUUUAUUUACCCUAAUUUAAUUUACUUAGAUAAACUGAAGUGACAUUUCAUGCAACAAGGAUUAAACUGACUGGAAAGUGGAGAGAA